UACGAAGGGUGCGAGCGUUAUUCGGAAUCACUGGGCGUAAAGGGUGCGUAGACGGUAUGUUAAGUUUGUCGUUAAAGACUCUAGCCUAACUGGAGGGUUGCGAUGAAAACUGGCGUGCUAGAGGAUGAGAGAGAGAAGUGGAAUUCCUGGAGUAGCGGUAAAAUGCGUGGAUCUCAGGAGGAACACCAAUGGCGAAGGCAGCUUCUUGGCUCAUUCCUGACGUUGAGGCACGAAAGCGUGGGGAGCGAACAGG
rnacentral:rRNA from 1 species